GACGAACGCUGGCGGCGCGCUUAAUACAUGCAAGUCGAGCGAGAACCAGAGCUUCGGCUCUGGGGACAGCGGCGAACGGGUGAGUAACACGUGAGUAAUCUGCCCUCGGCACCGGGAUAGCCCGGGGAAACCCGGAUUAAUACCGGAUAGCCUCUCGAGCUCUCGGGCUCGUGAGAAAAGGUAGCUUCGGCCUCUGGCCGGGGAGGAGCUCGCGGGGGAUUAGCUCGUUGGUGGGGUAACGGCUCCCCAAGGCGACGAUCCGUAGCUGGUCUGAGAGGACGAUCAGCCACACUGGGACUGAGACACGGCCCAGACUCCUACGGGAGGCAGCAGUAGGGAAUCUUGCGCAAUGGGCGAAAGCCUGACGCAGCGACGCCGCGUGCGGGAAGAAGGCCUUCGGGUUGUAAACCGCUUUCAGGAGGGACGAAGCCACUCGGGUUAAUAGCCCAGAGGGUGACGGUACCUCCAGAAGAAGCCCCGGCUAACUACGUGCCAGCCGCCGCCGUAAAAC
rnacentral:rRNA from 1 species